CAGUAGCCACGGGAAUACGGAGGGUGCGAGCGUUAACCGGAAUAACUGGGCGUAAGGGGCACGCAGGCGGUGACUUAAGUGAGGUGUGAAAGCCCCGGGCUUAACCUGGGAAUUGCAUUUCAUACUGGGUCGCUAGAGUACUUUAGGGAGGGGUAGAAUUCCACGUGUAGCGGUGAAAUGCGUAGAGACGUGGAGGAAUACCGAAGGCGAAGGCAGCCCCUUGGGAAAGUACUGACGCUCAUGUGCGAAAGCGUGGGGAGCAAACAGGAUUAGAUACCCCCGUAGUCCCUGUCUCUUAUAC
rnacentral:rRNA from 1 species